GGCAGGAUGGCCGAGUUGGUUAUGGCGCCAGGUUAAGGUUUACCUUAAUAUCAAUCUCCUGGUUCGGGAAACUGAGCGUGGGUUCAAGUCCCACUCCUGUCA
rnacentral:tRNA from 1 species